rnacentral:rRNA from 1 species
ACUCCUGCGGGAGGCAGCAGUGGGGAAUAUUGCACAAUGGGCGCAAGCCUGAUGCAGCCAUGCCGCGUGUAUGAAGAAGGCCUUCGGGUUGUAAAGUACUUUCAGCGGGGAGGAAGGCGAUAAGGUUAAUAACCUUGUCGAUUGACGUUACCCGCAGAAGAAGCACCGGCUAACUCCGUGCCAGCAGCCGCGGUAAUACGGAGGGUGCAAGCGUUAAUCGGAAUUACUGGGCGUAAAGCGCACGCAGGCGGUCUGUCAAGUCGGAUGUGAAAUCCCCGGGCUCAACCUGGGAACUGCAUUCGAAACUGGCAGGCUAGAGUCUUGUAGAGGGGGGUAGAAUUCCAGGUGUAGCGGUGAAAUGCGUAGAGAUCUGGAGGAAUACCGGUGGCGAAGGCGGCCCCCUGGACAAAGACUGACGCUCAGGUGCGAAAGCGUGGGGAGCAAACAGGAUUAGAAACCCCAGUAGUCCCAUG